UACAGAGGCCCCAAGCGUUACCCGGAAUUAUUGGGCGUAAAGGGUGUGUAGGCGGCAGUGUUAGUCGAUCGUUAAAUAUCUGAGGCUUAACCUCGGAAUCCCGAUCGAAACGGCACUACUAGAAGACGCGAGAGGUGAAUGGAACUCAUGGUGUAGGGGUGAAAUCCGUUGAUAUCAUGGGGAACACCAAAAGCGAAGGCAAUUCACUGGCGCGUUCUUGACGCUCAAACACGAAAGCGUGGGUAGCGAACGGG
rnacentral:rRNA from 1 species